UUCCCUCUGCAAUUCCCUUUAGGAUAGCUGGGAUACGAAAUGAAGCUGUUAUAUUCGAUAAAGCGAAUGAUUAGAGGUUCAACCUAUUCUUAAACUUUCAUUGAGUAUGACAUCUCGCUUGCUUGAAUAAAGAAUAGACAUGAAAUGUAAGCUCCAUGUAGACCAUUUUUGGUAAGCAGAAUUGGUGCUGUAGGAUUACACGACCACUGACAACUUAUUUAUGAAUAAAUAAAGCCAUGUUUGUCUCGUUUGACCUUCAGAUGUGCACGAGAUAGC
rnacentral:ncRNA from 1 species